AAGUCGUAACAAGGUAUCCGUAGGUGAACCUGCGGAUGGAUCAUUACCAAUUUUAUAUGUUAGUUUGCGCAUCUCUGUCAAAGGGGGUGUUGCAUAACUACUAUGUAAACGUUGAACUAGAUCAAUUGGUGUGGAUUGCUUGGGAAUGGACGAAGCGAUGAGCCUCUUCCGGACAGGCAAGCCCCACACUGAUAACCUUUUUCAUAUCAUUUACUCGUAUAUACUACCACAACAACAAAAAACAAAAGCUAUAAUAGGACUUAUUAACGGCUGAGUGGGUAACAUCCUCGGCUUAAACAUAUAACUAUUACAACUUUCAGCAAUGGAUCUCUAGGCUCUC
rnacentral:misc_RNA from 1 species